UACGGGGGGGGCAAGCGUUGUUCGGAAUUACUGGGCGUAAAGGGCUCGUAGGCGGCCAACUAAGUCGGAUGUGAAAUCCCCAAGCUUAACUUGGGAACUGCAUCCGAUACUGGAUGGCUUGAAUCCGGGAGAGGGAUGCAGAAUUCCAGGUGUAGCGGUGAAAUGCGUAGAGAUCGGGAGGAACACCAGUGGCGAAGGCGGCCUUCUGGACCAAUACUGACGCUCAUGCACGAAAGCGUGGGGAGCAAACAGG
rnacentral:rRNA from 1 species